rnacentral:lncRNA from 1 species
GUCACUCCUUAUUAAAGACUGAGGACUAUAGUCUCGUCCAGUUAAGUCUCGGUCCGGUCCAGUUAAGUCCUGCAUAUCAGUCAUAAUACUUAUAAAUUUCGAUCCUUGAUGAUGUCAAUCAACUUUAUUUCUUCUUUUUUUUAAUCAUCUCUAGUACUGAUAGUCCGAAGGACCGACAGCCUUAAGGACCGAUCCGACGGACUGAUAGGACCGGUCUUAAGAAUAGAGUGGACUGGACCAAAUAAAUAUUGACUGACACAACGCUUCUGACAAGUAGGAAUGGAAUGGCCUGUAUGGAACCACACUGGGCUGUACCGCAGUCCCUGGUCCUAAUUAUGGACUGACACAAUACUAAUUAGAGGAUAGACAAAUUUGGUUGUUUCGGUCCUCAAAUAGCCAACAUUAUCUAUGAUUACAUCACAUGAAAACCCUCUGCUCCCCAAAAAGCCAACAUAAUCAAUGCUGACAUCACAUGAAAACGCUCUGCUAUGUUAAAAUCCAUCCUCAGAGGAUUCUAACAUCUUUCUUAUUUACGACACAGCCGUAUAUUGUACAUAGGUACAAUAUUUACUUAUUAUUCAACCGGAUAUGUUACCUCGAGCAUGACGGAUCCCUAUGAAUGCAACGUGGGUGGAGUAGCUUUUGAAAUGAUUAUUACCUCUCCUACUACUAAAUAGUCAUAGGUAGGAAGGGAGAUAGGUACAAUCAUCAGGGUUCAUAAAUAUACAUAAUAUGUAAGGCAACUUGAAUCAUAAUUAAAAGUGGAUAUUGUGUAUCUAUACUUGAUAUCAGAGUAUAGACCUCAUGCGACAAUGUGUUUUGAAAAUAAUAAUAAUCAAAAGUAAA